CCUACGGGUGGCAGCAGUGGGGAAUAUUGGACAAUGGGGGAAACCCUGAUCCAGCGACGCCGCGUGAGUGAAGAAGUAUUUCGGUAUGUAAAGCUCUAUCAGCAGGGAAGAAAGAAAUGACGGUACCGGACUAAGAAGACCCGGCUAACUACGUGCCAGCAGCCGCGGUACUACGUAGGGGGCAAGCGUUAUCCGGAUUGACUGGGUGUAAAGGGAGCGUAGACGGCGAUGCAAGUCUGAAGUGAAAGGCGGGGGCCCAACCCCCGGACUGCCUUGGAAACUGUAUGGUUGGAGUGCAGGAGAGGUAAGUGGAAUUCCUAGGGUAGCGGUGAAAUGCGUAGAUAUUAGGAGGAACACCAGUGGCGAAGGCGGCUUACUGGACUGUAACUGACGUUGAGGCUCGAAAGCGUGGGGAGCAAACAGGAUGAGAUACCCCGGUAGUC
rnacentral:rRNA from 1 species